UUUCCUGUGGCUCAGUCGGUAGAGCAUUGCGCUAACAACAGAAAGGUCAUGGGUUCAUAUUCCAAGAAAA